rnacentral:rRNA from 1 species
GACGAACGCUGGCGGCGUGCUUAACACAUGCAAGUCGAACGGAAAGGCCCCUUUGGGGGUACUCGAGUGGCGAACGGGUGAGUAACACGUGAGUAACCUGCCCUUGACUUCGGGAUAACUUCAGGAAACUGGGGCUAAUACCGGAUAGGAAUCCUUGCUGCAUGGUGGGGGUUGGAAAGCUUCGGCGGCUUUGGAUGGACUCGCGGCUUAUCAGCUUGUUGGUGGGGUAGUGGCUUACCAAGGCUUUGACGGGUAGCCGGCCUGGGAGGGUGACCGGCCACAUUGGGACUGAGAUACGGCCCAGACUCCUACGGGAGGCAGCAGUGGGGAAUAUUGCACAAUGGGCGGAAGCCUGAUGCAGCAACGCCGCGUGCGGGAUGACGGCCUUCGGGUUGUAAACCGCUUUCAGCAGGGGCGAAGCUUUUGUGACGGUACCUGCAGAAGAAGCACCGGCUAACUACGUG